UACCAUAAAAAUGGAAACCUCAAAUAAAAACAAGAGAGACCAAAAACAGAAUUUCAUCUCAAAUUUAAAUUCUCAACAUGUACCCGCUUUCUAAAAUUUUUCAAAAAACUCACUUUGACGUUUCCCAAACGUUUGUGUUUCCGCGUAUUCGCUUCCAAUUUCAUGCAAUCCAGGUGUUAAGUGUAUGUAUGAUAAAAAAAAAUUUUUUAUCAAACACUAUUUAUAUUAAGUUAUCGAAAAGAGAUUUUCUGCUAGAGAGAGCCAUUAAGGAACCGAUGUGCUUAUAUGGGAGAAAAGGCUAUUACGAGCCCGAGCUUUAUUAGCUAAAUAAUCUGGUCGAAUAUUAGAAUUAUGAGGAAGAAAUCUAAUACGAAAAGAAGGGAAAAAACAAACUAAGGAGUGUAUGUAUGAUAAUUACCAAACGGUUAUGUGUCAAUUAUGAUUUAAUCCCGCAACUU
rnacentral:sRNA from 1 species